GGUCCAGACUCCUACGGGAGGCAGCAGUGAGGAAUAUUGGUCAAUGGCCGGAAGGCUGAACCAGCCAUGCCGCGUGAAGGUCAGUGCCCUAUGGGCGUUAAACUUCUUUUGUGCGGGAGCAAUAAUGGUCACGUGUGGCCAGACGAGAGUACCGUACGAAUAAGCAUCGGCUAACUCCGUGCCAGCAGCCGCGGUAAUACGGGGGAUGCAAGCGUUAUCCGGAUUUAUUGGGUUUAAAGGGUGCGUAGGCUGUGAGGUAAGUCAGCGGUGAAAUGCCCCCGCUCAACGGGGUGAAGUGCCAUUGAUACUGCCUUGCUGGAAUGCGGAUGCCGUGGGAGGAAUGUGUGGUGUAGCGGUGAAAUGCUUAGAGAUCAUACAGAACACCGAUUGCGAAGGCAGCUUACCAAGCUACUUCUGACGUUGAGGCACGAAAGCGUGGGGAGCAAACAGGAUUAGAUACCCCCGUAC
rnacentral:rRNA from 1 species